GAUGAACGCUGGCGGCGUGCCUAAUACAUGCAAGUCGAGCGAACGGACGAGAAGCUUGCUUCUCUGAUGUUAGCGGCGGACGGGUGAGUAACACGUGGAUAACCUACCUAUAAGACUGGGAUAACUUCGGGAAACCGGAGCUAAUACCGGAUGAUAUUUUGAACCGCAUGGUUCAAAAGUGAAAGACGGUCUUGCUGUCACUUAUAGAUGGAUCCGCGCUGCAUUAGCUAGUUGGUAAGGUAACGGCUUACCAGGGCAACGAUGCAUAGCCGACCUGAGAGGGUGAUCGGCCACACUGGAACUGAGACACGGUCCAGACUCCUACGGGAGGCAGCAGUAGGGAAUCUUCCGCAAUGGGCGAAAGCCUGACGGAGCAACGCCGCGUGAGUGAUGAAGGUCUUCGGAUCGUAAAACUCUGUUAUUAGGGAAGAACAUAUGUGUAAGUAACUGUGCACAUCUUGACGGUACCUAAUCAGAAAGCCACGGCUAACUACGUG
rnacentral:rRNA from 1 species